GUGCCUAAUACAUGCAAGUCGAGCGAACAGAUGAGAAGCUUGCUUCUCUGAUGUUAGCGGCGGACGGGUGAGUAACACGUGGGUAACCUACCUAUAAGACUGGGAUAACUCCGGGAAACCGGGGCUAAUACCGGAUAAUAUUUUGAACCGCAUGGUUCGAUAGUGAAAGACGGUUUCGGCUGUCACUUAUAGAUGGACCCGCGCCGUAUUAGCUAGUUGGUAAGGUAACGGCUUACCAAGGCGACGAUACGUAGCCGACCUGAGAGGGUGAUCGGCCACACUGGAACUGAGACACGGUCCAGACUCCUACGGGAGGCAGCAGUAGGGAAUCUUCCGCAAUGGGCGAAAGCCUGACGGAGCAACGCCGCGUGAGUGAUGAAGGUCUUCGGAUCGUAAAACUCUGUUGUUAGGGAAGAACAAAUUUGUUAGUAACUGAACAAGUCUUGACGGUACCUAACCAGAAAGCCACGGCUAACUACGUGCCAGCAGCCGCGGUAAUACGUAGGUGGCAAGCGUUAUCCGGAAUUAUUGGGCGUAAAGCGCGCGUAGGCGGUUUCUUAAGUCUGAUGUGAAAGCCCACGGCUCAACCGUGGAGGGUCAUUGGAAACUGGGAAACUUGAGUGCAGAAGAGGAGAGUGGAAUUCCAUGUGUAGCGGUGAAAUGCGCAGAGAUAUGGAGGAACACCAGUGGCGAAGGCGGCUCUCUGGUCUGUAACUGACGCUGAUGUGCGAAAGCGUGGGGAUCAAACAGGAUUAGAUACCCUGGUAGUCCACGCCGUA
rnacentral:rRNA from 1 species